GCUUAUUGGUAAAGUCUUUGCUUCACUGCAGCUGCCGUUAGAAGCUUCAGUUCCCAUAGAAACCUGAGACUCCAGCUUACCGUGCGUUCACACCGCCGCCGGUGAAAGCGUCAAAGUGACAGGAAGUCAUUCAUUUUCAAUGUGAGCCAGCGGCGAGCUCCGGCGAGAGCGGCGCGGCGCGUCUUGGACGGUGAGAGCGUCGAGGAGAGUUGAAGUCAGGUCAACUUUAUGGUAAUGAGCUACGACGCAGUUCAGCGGCAACCAAUCGGAAUGUAGAGGUCCUCGCUUGAGAGGAUUCCGAUUGGUUGCCACAACUUUUCAUUUACUUUGACGCUCUCACCGGCGGCAGUGUGAACGCACAGUUAGGACUGCACAUGCAAAUUGGCUUGUCUAGCCUGAAAAAUCUAUUUUUUAACACUAUUUGAGCAUAAGAAACAACAUAUAUGGGACAGUUCAUGUCAGAUUUUGUUGCUGAUUUGAAAUAUGUUAUUUAAUUGUGAGUUCGCCAAGCAGUUUUUGAAGAUUUCAGGAUUACCCCGUUCAAAUAGAUAGGACUUGGUCUUGAAUGCCCGAAAUAGCUGCCCGGAGGCAUUGCAAAUAUGGCCGCCGAGCGACAUGAAAGGGACUUUCCUUGAAAGGGAAUUUGAUAUUAAUUUCCAACGCGCGUUUACCAGAGCAUGACGGGUGUUGCGUUGACGCAAGAGCAGAUGCUGUUAAAGUGGAAGGUGAUGUGAUCUCUCCGGUGUGUCACGGUCCGCUGUGCCCUGGAGAAGGUCUGAGGGGGCCGGAACGGGAGGGCUGUCACCGGAUGACAUGGCAGAUGAAGCCCUGUUUGGAAGUGCAGGUGUGAGGCCGGUGCUUUGAUGGAGACCUCACAGACACCAGCUCCUCGCACGCUGAAUACAGAACAGCCUGAUCUCUCUCCACAACCUCUUACGCAGGACUCCCGCACACCCCCGUUUUCAGUGGAUAUGUUCAGCCAGUACGAUAUACUGCUUACUACAUGCUAAUGGAUAGUUUUGAUCCUUGAUGCUGGUCAAUACAGUAUUCCAGCUUUGUCUCUAGGCUUUUGUGAGGAUAUGCAGACAGGCCCUAAAAGAGAUGUACUAUUACACUCCGACCGGCCUGUCCGGACUCAUAAAAGAGCUGCUCUUUGCUUUCAACACGAGAGCUGUUUCCUCUCGGCCUGUGAGCUUCCUCGCCACCCAAUUUGCAAGAGACGAUUCACAAAACUUUAAAGUGUUCGGCUUGUCAGAUUUCUACCCAGCAAGCAAAGAGAGGCUUUUAUGGACCUAAUUAAUGUCUCCGUGUACAAGAUUUAUAUCUGAGAAAAGCACACCAUGCUCGCGAUAUUACCGUUAGUUUGUAAAAACACAAACAAAUACACACGCAAACAAAACCACACACAUAAUCGGCACCGAGGCGGUGUAAAACAGGAAGUGCUAUAGGUCCAGAGCAGGUGAGAUGAAAGAGAUGUCUGUGUGGCGUUUUAUCAGCGCAUGAGAAAGAUGGGGAGGAUUUGUCUCUGUUAAAGGGAUACACUGCUCCUUUAUUAAAGCCAUUUAUCACCUUUUGAAUAUUCUCCUUUAAUGGGCUCUUGCCCCUAAUUACCCAACUUUGUCAACAAAGAACACGCCAGGCAGGCCAGAGCAUCUCGUGUCCUCCUCACAUACAUGUCUUUCAUUCCCACAGGCUCUCGCUCUUUAUCUCUCAGUGUCAAUAAGCAGCAUUUCUCAUGCUGUUGUUAAGAUUAAUUCAGACGCUGUCUGGAGGCCGUAGACUAUUUGUGCGUGUAGGGAACACUGGGUGUCUCGGCACAAAUUUGGUUGUAUUUCAUUUCAGAUGAAUGAAUCUCGGUUUAGAUUUUGUAUAAAUGCUCUCAUCUAGGGCUGGACGGUGUAUUGAAUAUUCACAGUAAAUUUGCAAUGAUUUUGGUGGUGAUACAAAGUUUUUUAUUUGGCCGUUAAAUUUCCAAGAGGCCGUGUGAUUAGAGUAGUUUCAUAAGACAAUUGUGGAAGGACUAUGUUUUAAUGUUGCCACUGAUUUAAAUGCAACAUGAAAUUAAAAUGGACCCUAUUUAAUUAUUUAUUUUUAAUGUUUCUGUUCUUAAUGUGCAUGAUUCUUCUGCCCUAGUGUUAAAGGAAAACAAAUGUUUGUCUUUGUAAGCUUUUAUUAAAAUGCACCUUUAUGGCUGACGUCAUCUCUUAUUUUUCCAUUCCUGCAUCCAUCCUAAUCGCGUUUUUCCCUUGGAAUUGGGCUACUUUAACACUGUUGCCAUGGUUUUUCAUGUCCACGGUUUGAAUUGAGUCCAAAUAACAUGAUAUCUAGCACCUGGAUUGCGAAUUUUACCAGGGGAA